UUUUCUUGAUUUGUCUUUUUUGGAAAGAUUAUUGUUGUUUACCCAUCUGACGUGUUUGUAUGUGACCCACUGCGCACUCACCGGGAAAGUAAGCCAUUUUGAGGGUAAAUUGCACCUUUGUAAGUCAAGUGAACCCUCCAACUCUCUCCUCUCCUCUCUCUAUAAAGCUGGUACAUUCAUAUUAUAAAUGGUAGAGUGGUCCACGAUAACUUUGUAUGGGCAUGCUUAUUUCUCACUUCUCACCCCUCUUUACUUUCCUUCUUCACUAUAUCUCCACUACCCCCACACUUUUUUUUUCCUCAUUCUUUCUUUCUUUCUUCUUCUUCUUCUUCUUUCAAACAGAUCUGACCUCAAUUCUCAAGUCCUGGUCAUGCUUUUCCACAGCUUUCUUGAACUUCUUCUGCACCUUCGCCAUUUUAAGCCCUAGAAGCUCAAGAAAGCUGUGGGAGAAUAUGGCAAUUCAGGCUUCUUUUUUCCUUUCCUAAUUCUCUGGCAUCUUUCAAGAUUCACGGAGGCCACACAAGCUUCUUCAAUUCAUCCACGAUCACUGUCUAUGUUGCAGACUGCAUUGUUGUAAACAGCUAAAGACACCCAAUUUGGCAUGCGAAUCUGAAAAUCAAUUCAAUUUUCACCCAAAUAAGCUUCUGGGCAUGGCAGAAUCUAGGGAAAUAGUGAAAAUUUUGAACACGGGAACACGAAACCCAUUGAGUAUUCCAUGAAACAGAUUUGUGAAUCGUGACACGACAUCGUGUGUGAGUUAGCAGAGACACAGAGCUACAACUGAUCAUGGAUGCACAGUGAAGCCUUCAAUGACAUGAACUGAAUCCUCAGUUAAAUUUCCUAGUACGGAAUUAUUCGUGUUUUAGAGACUACUGUGCAAUAUAUAUUUAUAUAUUUAUUUUAGAAGCAAGAAAAAUAAUUGUGGUAUUUCACUUUGUUUAUUUUUCUUAUGUAUGAAGCUAAACAGGAACGUGUCAGUUGCCAUGCAGUGUAACUUGUUACUCGUUGUUGCAGUGCUGCUACAGGUUCUUAAUAUGUUAACCUAAAUUUCAAUUCAGAAAAUUUAAAUCAUCGGCCAUGGCAAUGGGCCUCUAGCUUUGAUGGCAAGGUUUCCCCACCUCAACAAAGGUAUAUAUGGGAAUGUUCCGAUUCAUGCACCUAACCAAAUAUUAUUGUAAUUAAAACCCCAAAAUAAUGGUUUUCCCUUUUGCUUUUCAACAAAAAUAUCUGUUUACCCAAUGAUUUGUCGUUUAUGAGAAAUUAGAAAGACAUUCUACUAGACACAAACAUUUUUAAAAAGAGCACAGAUUCUCUCCUCUUUUUUUUUUUUUUUAACAAUAAAGAAGUUCACAUGCUUAUUCAUGGUAUUCACUCACUUAAAGCUUUUGCAUAUAUGUAGGUUAUCUUAUUCCACUCACACUCAAACAAAAAACAAAGAGUAUGUUAGAUUUCAGGUUUUUAAAAAUUCACCACAUUUUAUAGUAUAGAAUAUCAGAAAAGAUAAUCAAUCAUUUAUGGAGAAAAUAAUAAAGUAGAAUUUUAUUUUGGAUUGAAAAGAAUUUUUUAAAUUAGUGUUUGAAUUUAUUUUCAGACGAUUUAUUUUUUAUGUAUUUUUAUUUUCUCUUCCACUUAUUCAAAUAAAGAAAGAGAAAUCUGUUCACUUUUUCCCAUUUUACUAAUCAUUCAAAAUUCAUAUUAUAUAUCCACUCUAUUUUUCAUUCCUUUUUUUAUGUUUUUGCUCAAUUGUUAUUUUUCUCUCUUUUUCACUUUCAUUCUAAGCACACAUAGAUAAUGAAAGGUAUGUUUAUAUGAAUUUCACACUUAGUGUUAGAAAUUUUGAGAGAUUUAACCUAAUUGUCGCAUUCAAUUCAGAAGUUAAUCACGUAUAGUUAAGAAAGAGAAAGAAAUAUAUCACUCUUACUAAAAUAACGAAGAAAUUGACUACAUAUAAGAAGUGACAAUUAUUUACCAACUCCUAUGCCAUAAUUUUAAAUUUUUAUUUUUUUAAUGAAAUUUCUUUUAGGAAUUCUUCCUACACAUCAAUGUUUUUUUUUUUCAAGUUAUUGUCAAUAUCAUUCAUCCAUUUUCUUUAUCCUACCUAGGCUUGUAAGCUGAGCAUUAUUUAUUUUUAUUUAUUUAAAUUGACUAUCAUUAAUUUUAUUUCUAUUUCAAUUUCAAUUUAAUUAACUUGCCAACUAGUCCAAAAGUUUCUUUCUCAAAUCACUCUCCUUUUACUCUAUUCAUAUAUUAAAUUUUUUAAACGUAUUAUAUGUUACAAUUUACCUAUUCAUAUUUUUUUAAAAUUAAAUGUUAGCAAAAAUAUUAAUGACAAAUAUUACGUUAAAAUACGUUACGUAUUAAUAAUAAUUGUACCUUAAAAAUUCAUUUAGCUUAUGUUUUAAUUUUAAUACAAUAUUACAUAUACUUAUUAUGACUUUAAAUAUCUAUAAAAAUUUUAAUUAUGUACAUGUUAAUAGACUAAUAUACUAGUUUUAAUUUAUUAUACCAUAUAAAUAAUCACCAGUUUUUUUAAGAAAUUCUAUUGUUUUCCAUGUUUUGUAGAAGUUCUUCAGCAGUUAAAUGAGAUGGAAGAGGAAGAUAGAAGAGGAGUGGGAAAUAAAUAAGUCGUGUGAGAGAGAAAAAAAAAUGAAUAAAAAGUGUGUUGUAAAAAAUCCUUCUCUUUUCUCCUCAAAUGCUUUUCAUCUUACCUAGAGAAUGGAAUCAAAAGAAAAUGUCUGGUAGCAAA